AUUGAACGCUGGCGGCAGGCCUAACACAUGCAAGUCGAGCGGAGCGGCGGAAGGGUGAGUAAUGCCUAGGAAUCUGCCUGGUAGUGGGGGAUAACGUACGGAAAGGGGCGCUAAUACCGCAUACUAUCAGAUAAGACUAGGUCGGAGUAGCUAGUUGGUGGGGUAAAGGCCUACCAAGGCGACGAUCCGUACCGGGUCUAAGAGGAUGAUCAGUCACACUGGAACUGAGACACGGUCCAGACUCCUACGGGAGGCAGCAGUGGGGAAUAUUGGCAAAUGGGAGAAAGCCUGAUCCAGCCAUGCCGCGUGUGUGAAGAAGGUCUUCGGAUUGUAAAGCACUGUAAGUUGGGAGGCGUUACCAACAGAAGAAGCACCGGCUAACUUCGUGCCAGCAGCCGCGGUAAUUC
rnacentral:rRNA from 1 species